rnacentral:rRNA from 1 species
AACGAACGCUGGCGGCAUGCCUAACACACGCAAGUCGAACGAACCCUUCGGGGUUAGUGGCGCACGGGUGCGUAACGCGUGGGGAUCUGCCCUUUGCUUCGGAAUAACAGUUAGAAAUGACUGCUAAUACCGGAUGAUGUCGCAAGAUCAAAGAUUUAUCGGCAAAGGAUGAACCCGCGUAGGAUUAGCUAGUUGGUGGGGUAAAGGCCUACCAAGGCGACGAUCCUUAGCUGGUCUGAGAGGAUGAUCAGCCACACUGGGACUGAGACACGGCCCAGACUCCUACGGGAGGCAGCAGUGGGGAAUAUUGGACAAUGGGCGAAAGCCUGAUCCAGCAAUGCCGCGUGAGUGAUGAAGGCCUUCGGGUUGUAAAGCUCUUUUACCAGGGAUGAUAAUGACAGUACCUGGAGAAUAAGCUCCGGCUAACUCCGUGCCAGCCGCCGCUGUAAUAC